rnacentral:rRNA from 1 species
GGCGAUCAGAUACCGCCCUAGUUCUGACCGUAAACGAUGCCAACUAGCGAUCCGCCAGUCGACUCAUCGCUCUGGUGGGGAGCUUCCCGGAAACGAAAGUCUUCCGGUUCCGGGGGAAGUAUGGUUGCAAAGCUGAAACUUAAAGGAAUUGACGGAAGGGCACCACCAGGAGUGGAGCCUGCGGCUUAAUUUGACUCAACACGGGGAAACUCACCCGGCCCGGACACCGUAAGGAUUGACAGAUUGAUAGCUUUUUCAUGAUUCGGUGGAUGGUGGUGCAUGGCCGUUCUUAGUUCGUGGAGCGAUUUGUCUGGUUUAUUCCGAUAACGAGCGAGACUCUGGCCUACUAAAUAGUUGACGCAUUGCCACUGUGCGCACAACUUCUUAGAGGGAUUUUCGGUGUUUUCAACCGCACGAAAUUGAGCAAUAACAGGUCUGUGAUGCCCUUAGAUGUCCGGGGCUGCACGCGCGCUACACUGGCAAACGCAAUGUGCCUGUCCUGCCCCGAAAGGAGCGGGUAAACCCCUGAAAUUUUGCCGUGAUUGGGAUCGGACAUUGCAACUAUUGUCCGUGAACGAGGAAUUCCUUGUAGGGGCGAGUCAUCAACUCGUCCCGAAUACGUCCCUGCCCUUUGUA